UUCUGAACAUUUCUAUGUGCUGCCGCGCCGUCGAUUUCCACGAAGUGGCCACCCCGAGCCGAUUCCCCAAUGUGUCAAUGACAACGUCCACUGCGUGAUCCUGUGGGACAUGACCAAUCCAUUGCCUUAUCAACACAUCGAGGGUGAAUUGAGUUCAGAGCUUUGAGCACCCGAUUGCGAUUUUGUAGCUGCAGUGGUGCUAUUCUUUAUCAUUUGGCAGAUGAAGGCCGUCGAAGAUCACAAGCGCAGCUUGCUAUUGUACAGGUUUAGAAUCUAGAAAGGCUGAUGAAGGCCGUCGAAGAUCACAAGCGCAGCUUGCUAUUGUACAGGUUUAGAAUCUAGAAAGGUUGUUAAUUCCAAAUCAAUUUGGAAUCCAGUCAAAACUACUCUCAAGGACUGCUCUGAACCUCAAAUAUCGCCG